rnacentral:rRNA from 1 species
UACAGAGGGCGCAAGCGUUGUUCGGAUUCAUUGGGCGUAAAGGGUGCGUAGGCGGCGCGGUAAGUCGGGUGUGAAAUCUCGGAGCUUAACUCCGAAACUGCAUUCGAUACUGCCGUGCUUGAGGACUGGAGAGGAGACUGGAAUUUACGGUGUAGCGGUGAAAUGCGUAGAUAUCGUAAGGAGGACCAGUGGCGAAGGCGGGUCUCUGGACAGUUCCUGACGCUGAGGCACGAAGGUCAGGGGAGCAAACGGG